rnacentral:rRNA from 1 species
GUUGUAUGGUUAAGUGACUAAGCGUACACGGUGGAUGCCUUGGCAGUCAGAGGCGAUGAAAGACGUAGUAACUUGCGAUAAGCCCAGAUUAGGUAGUAACAACCAUUUGAGUCUGGGAUUUCUGAAUGGGGAAACCCACUUACAUAAGUAAGUAUCAUUAACUGAAUACAUAGGUUAAUGAGGCGAACCGGGGGAACUGAAACAUCUAAGUACCCCGAGGAAAAGAAAUCAACCGAGAUUCCGAAAGUAGCGGCGAGCGAAAUUGGACUAGCCCUUAAGCUUUACACGCGUUAGACGAACGGUCUGGAAAGUCCGACGAUACAGGGUGAUAGUCCCGUAGUUGACGACGUGUGUUCAGUGAAAUCGAGUAGGGCGGGACACGUGAUAUCCUGUCUGAAUAUGGGGGGACCAUCCUCCAAGGCUAAAUACUACUGACUGACCGAUAGUGAACCAGUACCGUGAGGGAAAGGCGAAAAGAACCCCUGUGAGGGGAGUGAAAUAGAACCUGAAACCGUGUACGUACAAGCAGUAGGAGCACCUUCGUGGUGUGAGGGGAGUGAAAUAGAACCUGAAACCGUGUACGUACAAGCAGUAGGAGCAGGCUUUGUCCUGUGACUGCGUACCUUUUGUAUAAUGGGUCAGCGACUUAUAUUCAGUGGCAAGGUUAACCAUCUAGGGGAGCCGUAGGGAAACCGAGUCUUAACUGGGCGUUCAGUCUCUGGAUAUAGACCCGAAACCAGGUGAUCUAGCCAUGGGCAGGUUGAAGGUUGAGUAACAUCAACUGGAGGACCGAACCGACUAAUGUUGAAAAAUUAGCGGAUGACUUGUGGCUAGGGGUGAAAGGCCAAUCAAACCUGGAGAUAGCUGGUUCUCCCCGAAAGCUAUUUAGGUAGCGCCUCGGACGAAUACUACUGGGGGUAGAGCACUGUUAAGGCUAGGGGGUCAUCCCGACUUACCAACCCUUUGCAAACUCCGAAUACCAGUAAGUACUAUCCGGGAGACACACGGCGGGUGCUAACGUCCGUCGUGGAGAGGGAAACAACCCAGACCGCCAGCUAAGGUCCCAAAUUACUACUAAGUGGGAAACGAUGUGGGAAGGCUCAGACAGCCAGGAUGUUGGCUUAGAAGCAGCCAUCAUUUAAAGAAAGCGUAAUAGCUCACUGGUCGAGUCGGCCUGCGCGGAAGAUGUAACGGGGCUAAGUAGUAAACCGAAGCUGCGGCAAUAUACUUUUGUAUAUUGGGUAGGGGAGCGUUCUGUAAGCGGUUGAAGGUGUGUGGUAACGCAUGCUGGACGUAUCAGAAGUGCGAAUGCUGACAUGAGUAACGAUAAAGGGGGUGAAAAACCUCCUCGCCGGAAGACCAAGGGUUCCUGUCCAACGUUAAUCGGGGCAGGGUAAGUCGACCCCUAAGGCGAGGCCGAAAGGCGUAGUCGAUGGGAAACGGGUUAAUAUUCCCGUACUUCUUACAAUUGCGAUGGGGGGACGGAGAAGGCUAGGUGGGCCUGGCGACGGUUGUCCAGGUUCAAGUGCGUAGGCUUGAGAGUUAGGUAAAUCCGGCUCUCUUUAAGGCUGAGACACGACGUCGAGCAUCUACGGAUGUGAAGUCAUUGAUGCCAUGCUUCCAGGAAAAGCCUCUAAGCUUCAGAUUGUAAGGAAUCGUACCCCAAACCGACACAGGUGGUCGGGUAGAGAAUACCAAGGCGCUUGAGAGAACUCGGGUGAAGGAACUAGGCAAAAUGGUACCGUAACUUCGGGAGAAGGUACGCUCUCGACGGUGAAGUCCCUCGCGGAUGGAGCUAUUGAGAGUCGCAGAUACCAGGUGGCUGCAACUGUUUAUUAAAAACACAGCACUGUGCAAAAUCGUAAGAUGACGUAUACGGUGUGACGCCUGCCCGGUGCCGGAAGGUUAAUUGAUGGGGUUAGACUUCGGUCGAAGCUCUUGAUCGAAGCCCCGGUAAACGGCGGCCGUAACUAUAACGGUCCUAAGGUAGCGAAAUUCCUUGUCGGGUAAGUUCCGACCUGCACGAAUGGCGUAAUGAUGGCCACGCUGUCUCCACCCGAGACUCAGUGAAAUUGAAAUCGCUGUGAAGAUGCAGUGUACCCGCGGCUAGACGGAAAGACCCCGUGAACCUUUACUACAGCUUGGCACUGAACAUUGACCCUACAUGUGUAGGAUAGGUGGGAGGCUUUGAAGCAGGUACGCCAGUAUC